UCCGGUUUGUCACCGGCAGUCUCCCUAGAGUUCUCAGCCGAACUGCUAGCAACUAAGGGCGAGGGUUGCGCUCGUUGCGGGACUUAACCCAACAUCUCACGACACGAGCUGACGACAGCCAUGCAGCACCUGUGUAAUGGCUCCCUUUCGGGCACUCCCAAAUCUCUUCGGGAUUCCAUCCAUGUCAAGGGUAGGUAAGGUUUUUCGCGUUGCAUCGAAUUAAUCCACAUCAUCCACCGCUUGUGCGGGUCCCCGUCAAUUCCUUUGAGUUUUAAUCUUGCGACCGUACUCCCCAGGCGGUCAACUUCGCGCGUUAGCUACGUUACUGAAAGAUUUGACUCUUCCAACAACUAGUUGACAUAGUUUAGGGCGUGGACUAC
rnacentral:misc_RNA from 1 species